GAGUUGACAAUAAUUUACUAUAUGGAAAAAUAAAAUAUCAUAAUAAUAAAAAAACAAACGAUUUGUCAUCAAUAAGAUCAUCACUCAUCACCACUAUCGACUUUUCUACCAUCAUCCUGAUGAGUCAUAUCUAGAGCUAAGGCUGUAAAAUGCAUACCCUGCAUCAUUUGCACCAUCAUGUUUUGCAUCAUUUGUUGCAUGCGCUCCUCCAAUGUCUGCUCACGUUGUCUAUAUCUCUCCUCUAGCAUCAACUCGCGUUGUCGAUCUCUCUCCUCCAUUGCAACCAAACUAUCCUUGAGCGUUGCAAUAGUCUGAUGCAAUUGUUGAAUCUCUUCCUGCAUUGCCUCUGACUGAGCACAAUAGGAUGCAGUAGAAGAUGAUCCAUGUGAUGAGCUAGGGUAAAAAAUUGAUGCUUGAGAUCCAAUGCCAUAAACCCUGUUCUUCUUCUCCCCCCCCACAACUUGAUAAUAUAGUGCGACCUCAUCUACAAUAGGAGGGUCACUGCACCCCUCUUGUGGUUGAGACGACUGCUCCUUAAGCGCCAAAAAUGCAUCCUUAAUUGAUUGCGCUCGUGCAUCAACCAUAUCGGAGGUGCCCUUCCUAGUAUGGGUCUUAUGGAAAAGCUUAUAAGGAAAAGGUCUUCGGCCAAGCUGGGCUUCCAUUCUAUCUGCGUGAGUAACAUUUGAAACUGAACCCCCUGUGUGUCUAGAGAUGCCUGCCCCAACUCCCCCUAUCUCACUACAAUGGUUAGCAGUGAACUGAUGGCUCUUGGCUUUAAAAUCUAGGCUACUCCAUGCCUCCUUCCAUUUUUGCAUUGUACUACCAAGCAUGAUGACCUUGGAUUUUCCUUUUUUAACACUGCACAUUAGUGCCUUGUAGCACUCUGCAGCCUUACGCCUCCAGGCUUCCUUUACGAGUGGAGUCACCUCCUGCCAGUCAAAGUAUUUCUGAAAUUCAUCAUAGUAAAACUCCUUUGUCUCAGGCGUGACAGUUUUCCAACAGUGCCCCUUUGGGUCCAUCCUCUCCUUGAAAAUAUUCUUCAUCUUCUUAGCACAUUCCUCAGAUGGAUCUAACUUGUACACAAGAAAGACAACAAGCAUAUUGAUUUUAUGCAAAUGUAAAAACAUGGUACUUCAAUCGCUAAUGACAAGUAAUACUAAAUCAUACAUAAAGUUAAUUUUUAAUACUUACGCGCCAUUAAUGAGCUUUAUUUGUUUCUUUCUUCCAAAGGUAGUGAGCGAUAGGCCAUCUAUUGAUGAUAUCAGUGUUGCCCCAACUAAAUGACCUCCAUGACUAAAUGUCAAUCCAACUGCAGGUUUAGAAGAUGGGGUAGUAGGUAGUGGUGGUGGAGGUGGAGGUGUAGCUCAAUGCUGUGUUGAAGCAGUAGACCCCUCUGGAUCUGGUGCCGACCUCCCAGUGGAUCGUGAAGGAACCUGAGGCUGACCCUGUGUAGAUUGGUCUAGUUGAUCAUUGGGCUCAUCCUGCACAGGUAACUGCCUUGACUGUGAAUGACCCAACAAACCUCCCCUGCGACCGUUGCCUCGCAUCCUGUGUGAUACUGAAAGCAAGGGACAAAAUAACGAGAGAUAGUGACCAAAAGAGAAUGAGACAGACAACAGUGUCAAGGGCUCGAAGAACCAAAUGGAAUAUACAUACCACUACCAAAGGAAGAAGAGAACACAAAGAACAACCCACAAGCGUGCAAGAUAGAAGCCUCAAAAAGCCUCUCCGCCAACAGGCAACAAUCCCCAGACGAAGAACGACCAAAACACUAAAAACAGAUGUAGAAACAAAGUGAAUGGGAAGGGGCAACAGGGACAGGUUGAUAAAAGAAAAUUUGAAUAUUUUUAAACAAUGAGAUGCACAGAAAACAUAUUCAACCAAUUGUAUCAGAAAAAACUCGAAAACAGAGUAAGAUCUGCUUCUCUUGCACCUGAAUCAAUAUAUUAACAGACAAAAGUGAGGACUGGAAUCAAAAUUGGGAGGACUGUCCCUGGCCAGGGCUACCCAUUAGUAAACAUGUCAAUAAAUUAAGGAUCUUCUUUCAUUCACCAUUAUAUAUAUUAUUUGUGAGGGCAAAAAAAUUAAAGGAAAACAGAAAGAGAAUAUGCUAAAAGACACCAAUAAAAAAAGAGAAGAACCAUAAGAGAAUAUAGUAAAAACAGAAACAAGGAUAUUCCCAAAUUGUUUUUAAUCCCAUAUCUGCAAUUAAUAUAAGAAACUCUAAACAUACAAAAGAAUAAUAUGAGAUGAACAGAAAAUAGAGUAAGAACUGUUUCUUUUGCACAGGAACCAACACACACUCAGAUACAAAAAAAAAGCUAUUUGUAAAAUCCAAGAAAAAUAUUCAUAUGUGCUUUUAUAUAUAUAUUC
rnacentral:misc_RNA from 1 species